CUAGUGGUUAGAGUCUAGGGGAGGCAGGUAGCCUAGUGGUUAGAGUCUAGGGGCGGCAGGUAGCCUAGUGGUUAGAGUGUAGGGGGCAGGUAGCCUAGUGGUUAGAGUGUAGGGGAGGCAGGUAGCCUAGUGGUUAGAUGUAGGGAGGCAGGUAGCCUAGUGGUUAGAGUGUAGGGGUGGCAGGUAGCCUAGUGGUUAGAGUGUAGGGGUGGCAGGUAGCCUAGUGGUUAGAGUGUAGGGGUGGCAGGUAGCCUAGUGGUUAGAGUGUAGGGGUGGCAGGUAGCCUAGUGGUUAGAGUGUAGGGGUGGCAGGUAGCCUAGUGGUUAGAGUGUAGGGGUGGCAGGUAGCCUAGUGGUUAGAGUGU
ensembl:lncRNA